rnacentral:lncRNA from 1 species
GAGACUACAUGAAACAGAGAAAACGAGAGAUUCUCUUCAGCUUUAAAACCCAACAACAAAACUAGAACCUUGAAUAUGUUAUCUCCAUCUUCUCCAACAUCAAAAACCAUUGAUUCCUCUUCCGUCGCCUUCCAGCUCGCCCACUGCUGCUUUAACUCAAGUUACUGUCAUAAAACGUGCACAUACAGUCACAGAUAGAGAAAAAAG